rnacentral:rRNA from 1 species
UACGUAGGGGGCAAGCGUUGUCCGGAAUCAUUGGGCGUAAAGCGCGUGUAGGCGGUCCGGUAAGUCCGCUGUGAAAGUCACAGGCUCAACCUGUGAAUGCCGCUGGAAACUGUCUGGCUUGAGUCCGGAAGGGGCGAGUGGAAUUCCUGGUGUAGCGGUGAAAUGCGCAGAUAUCAGGAGGAACACCGAUGGCGAAGGCAGCUCGCUGGAACGGUACUGACGCUGAGGCGCGAAAGCGUGGGGAGCGAACAGG